UCUGACUAUAAUGAGGGAUGUGUUGC
rnacentral:piRNA from 1 species